CCCUUCGGGGCGAAGAUAAAGUGGAUUAGCGGCGGACGGGUGAGUAACACGUGAGUAACCUGCCUUAGACAUUGGGAUAGCCUCGGGAAACCGGGAUUAAUACCAAAUAAAAUCAUAAUGACACAUGUCAUAACGAUCAAAACUCCGGUGGUCUAAGAUGGACUCGCGUCCCAUUAGCUAGUUGGUAGAGUAAAAGCCUACCAAGGCGACGAUGGGUAGCCGGCCUGAGAGGGUGAACGGCCACAUUGGAACUGAGAAACGGUCCAAACUCCUACGGGAGGCAGCAGUGGGGAAUAUUGCACAAUGGAGGGAACUCUGAUGCAGCGACGCCGCGUGAACGAAGAAGGCUUUCGAGUCGUAAAGUUCUUUUAUAUGGGAAGAUAAUGACGGUACCAUAAGAAAAAGCCCCGGCUAACUACGUGCCAGCAGCCGCGGUAAUACGUAGGGGGCUAGCGUUGUCCGGAAUCACUGGGCGUAAAGGGUUCGCAGGCGGAAAUGCAAGUCAGAUGUAAAAGGCAGUAGCUUAACUACUGUAAGCAUUUGAAACUGCAUAUCUUGAGAAGAGUAGAGGUGAGUGGAAUUUUUAGUGUAGCGGUGAAAUGCGUAGAUAUUAAAAAGAAUACCGGUGGCGAAGGCGACUUACUGGGCUCAUUCUGACGCUGAGGAACGAAAGCGUGGGUA
rnacentral:rRNA from 2 species